GUCUACGGCCACACCAGUGUGAAUGCGCCUGAUCUCGGAAACUAAAUACACUUGGGCUCGAUCAGUACUUGGUUGGGAGACCAUCUGGGAACCCCAAGUACUGUAAGCU
rnacentral:rRNA from 1 species